UUAAUUGCGUAGAAGAGAAGAGUACAACGAAUCGGACUUGACAGAGAGCUUCGGUAAUUGAGAAGAAGCAGCAGCGAUUUGUUAGAAGAUGGCCUCGGAGCAAUUGUCAGUGAGACACGGGAAUGCCCGUUACAGCAGUUCGCAGCAAUGCGACUAAAGAUCAGUCUUGUGAGAGGCUGAUAAAUUAAGGUGGUACCACGGCACUCCCGUCCUUUCA
rnacentral:ncRNA from 1 species